rfam:Conidiobolus coronatus NRRL 28638 unplaced genomic scaffold CONCOscaffold_282, whole genome shotgun sequence.
GGGCGUAUAGCUCAGUGGCAGAGCAAUCGACUGCAGAUCGAUAGGUCCUUGGUUCAACUCCGAGUGCGCCCU